AUGGCAGUGGCAGCAGCCAGACUGUGGUGGUGGGAGAUCAUGGGGGCUGCAGUGCUGACCAGGUGGGCUGGGUGACCUUCAGUUCUGUUGCUGGUGGUGAGGCAUAAGAGCAUCGGGGCUGACAUGUGCCCCACUGGAAGACCACGGAAUGAUGUGGCCCACAAGCAGCUUCAGCUUUUGUAGAGUAUGUGGCUGAAAUCCUGCCCAAGUAUGUCCAACAAAUUGAGGUGUCCUUCAAUGAGUUAGAGAUCUGUAUCCAUCCUGAUGGCAUCAUCCCAGUGCUGACUUUCCUCAAGGAUAAUACCAAUGUACAGUUCAAAUCCCUGGCUGACUUGACAGCAGUGGACGUCCCGACUCAGCAGAACCAUUUUGAGAUUGCCUACAACCUGUUGUCUCUGUGCUUCAACUCACAGAUCAGUGUCAAGACCUACAUAGAUGAGCUGACGCCCAUUGAAUACAUUAUAUCUGUGUUCAAGGAAGCCAACUGGUAUGAGAGGGAGAUCUGGGACAUGUUUGGAGUCUUCUUUGCUAACCACCCGGAUCUGAGAAGGAUCCUGACAGAUUAUGGCUUCGAGGGACAUGCUUUCCAGAAAGACUUCCCUCUAUCUGGCUAUGUUGAGUUAUGCUAUGAUGACGAGGGGAAGCGGUGGUGGCAGAGCCAGUGGAGUUGGCCCAAGAGUUCUGCAAAUUUGACCUCAACAGCCCCUAAGAGGCUUUCCCAACCUAUCACCAACCCCCAGAGAGUAUCAAGCUUGAAGCCAGAGAAAAGAAGCCUGAAGCCAAGUAGCUCUAGGGAAGGCAUGUGGAUCCUA